CCUACCCUUGACAUGGAUGGAAUCCUGAAGAGAUUUGGGAGUGCUCGAAAGAGAACCAUCACACAGGUGCUGCAUGGCUGUCGUCAGCUCGUGUCGUGAGAUGUUGGGUUAAGUCCCGCAACGAGCGCAACCCUUGUCAUUAGUUGCUACGAAAGGGCACUUUAAUGAGACUGCCGGUGACAAACCGGAGGAAGGUGGGGAUGACGUCAAGUCCUCAUGGCCCUUAUGGGUAGGGCUUCACACGUCAUACAAUGGUACAUACAGAGGGCCGCCAACCCGCGAGGGGGAGCUAAUCCCAGAAAGUGUAUCGUAGUCCGGAUUGGAGUCUGCAACUCGACUCCAUGAAGUUGGAAUCGCUAGUAAUCGCGGAUCAGCAUGUCGCGGUGAAUACGUUCCCGGGUCUUGUACACAC
rnacentral:rRNA from 1 species